rnacentral:rRNA from 1 species
AGAACGAACGCUGGCGGCAGGCUUAACACAUGCAAGUCGAACGCCCCGCAAGGGGAGUGGCAGACGGGUGAGUAACGCGUGGGAAUCUACCUAUCUCUACGGAAUAACCCAGGGAAACUUGGACUAAUACCGUAUACGCCCUUCGGGGGAAAGAUUUAUCGGGGAUAGAUGAGCCCGCGUUGGAUUAGCUAGUUGGUGGGGUAAAGGCCUACCAAGGCGACGAUCCAUAGCUGGUCUGAGAGGAUGAUCAGCCACAUUGGGACUGAGACACGGCCCAAACUCCUACGGGAGGCAGCAGUGGGGAAUAUUGGACAAUGGGCGCAAGCCUGAUCCAGCCAUGCCGCGUGAGUGAUGAAGGCCCUAGGGUUGUAAAGCUCUUUCAACGGUGAAGAUAAUGACGGUAACCGUAGAAGAAGCCCGGCUAACUUCGUGCCAGCAGCCGC